rnacentral:rRNA from 1 species
GACGAACGCUGGCGGCGUGCUUAACACAUGCAAGUCGAACGAUGACGACCGAGCUUGCUCGGUCUGAUUAGUGGCGAACGGGUGAGUAACACGUGAGCAACCUGCCCUUCACUCUGGGAUAACCUCGGGAAAUCGGGGCUAAUACCGGAUAUGAGCUCCUGUCGCAUGGCGGGUGUUGGAAAGUUUUUCGGUGAAGGAUGGGCUCGCGGCCUAUCAGUUUGUUGGUGAGGUAGUGGCUCACCAAGGCGAUGACGGGUAGCCGGCCUGAGAGGGCGACCGGCCACACUGGGACUGAGACACGGCCCAGACUCCUACGGGAGGCAGCAGUGGGGAAUAUUGCACAAUGGGCGAAAGCCUGAUGCAGCGACGCCGCGCGAGGGAUGACGGCCUUCGGGUUGUAAACCUCUUUCAGCAGGGAAGAAGCGAAAGUGACGGUACCUGCAGAAGAAGCGCCGGCUAACUACGUG